GACGAACGCUGGCGGCGUGCCUAACACAUGCAAGUCGAGCGAGAACCAGACCUUCGGGUCGUGGGGACGAGCGGCGAACGGGUGAGUAACACGUGGGUAAUCAACCCUCGAUACUGGGAUAGCCCGGGGAAACCCGGAUUAAUACCGGAUGGCCCUUUCGGAUCCUCGGAUCUGAAGGAAAAGGUAGCUUCGGCCUCCGAUCGAGGACGAG
rnacentral:rRNA from 1 species